ACUGUGAUGCUUAAUUUUAAUUGUCAGUUUGAUAGGAUUUAAAGUCACCAUGGAAACAAACCUCUGUGUGUGUCUGGGAAGGAGUUUCUAGAUUGGGUUAAUUGAGGUGGGAAGAGCAGCUGUGGUGGUGUGAAGGAAAAUGGCCCUCAAAGGGAGGGGCGCUAUUAGGAGGGGAGGCCUUGGUGGAGGAAGUGUGUCAUGCUGGGGGCAGGCUUUGAGGUCUCUUUCUUAAGCUUCCGUCAGUGUGACAGUCAGUCGACUUCCUGUUACCUGCAAGAUGUAGGACACUGAGCUCCAGCACCACAUCUGCCUGCACACUGCCAUGCUCCCCAUCAUGACCAUAAUGAACUGAACCUCUGAAACGAUGUAGGACUCUCAGCUCCUGCUCCAACACCUGUCUGCCUGCACGCCACCUUGCUUCCCACCAUGUUGAUAAUGGACUAAACCCCUGAAUUGUCAUUAAGUGAUCCACAGGCCCUCCUGAUGCCAUGCGGCUCAGAUGGGCGGAAGACACCCAUGGGGCAGCCUGGGUCCUCAAGUUUCAACCUGCUUGAAGCAUCCACAGGCCCACCCAGCUCCUUGUAACACUGGGCAGGGCAAGGCUGCAGACAUACCAUGGAGUAACCACACAGUGGUUGUCUGUAGGAGUACGUGGCAAAAGAAUUACCAGUCUUCUACUACUAGUAGUACUGCUACUAUUGCUACUACUACUACGUUGAUAGGAAAGUAGAUUGCAUACAUGUGCUGUCAGCCACUACAGGGCAUGUGUGCCCAUGUGACGCCCAUUCUUAUCUUCUGCAACAAUCUUAGCAGAAUCUGCGAGGACAACUGAGAGGCCUACAGGAUGAAGACUAGAACAUAUCUUUCUAGUCCAUGGAAGCUACCCAGGAGUGUCAGGGCCUCUGCCCCAGAACUGUCUUCAGAACAGAAGGUACAGCUGUUUUGUGCAGGGUCCAUAAACUGAGCUCUCUUACUCUGUUCAGUUCUUUAUCUACUCUAGACUCUCAAGCCUGUCCUAGAAACUGUCAUUAAAAAACUAGAAUGUGUCCAUCCCAGGCUGAAGUGGUACUAUGGCAGUACUCUAUGACUACAGUACUCUAUGAUUGUGACAAUACUCUAUGACUACAGCAGUACUCUAUGACUGUGGCAGUACUCUAUGACUGUGGCAGUACUCUAUGACUACAGUACUCUAUGACUGUGACAGUACUCUAUGACUGUGACAGUACUCUAUGACUGUGACAGUACUCUAUGACUACAGCAGUACUCUAUGACUGUGACAGUACUCUAUGACUACAGCAGUACUCUAUGACUGUGACAGUACUCUAUGACUACAGCAGUACUCUAUGACUACAGCAGUACUCUAUGACUGUGACAGUACUCUAUGACUAUGACAGUACUCUAUGACUGUGACAGUACUCUAUGACUAUGACAGUACUCUAUGACUAUGACCAUACUCUAUGACUACAGCAGUACUCUAUGACUGUGACAGUACUCUAUGACUACAGCAGUACUCUAUGACUGUGACAGUACUCUAUGACUAUGGCAGUAUUCUAUGACUAUGUCAGUACUCUAUGACUGUGACAGUACUCUAUGACUAUGGUAGUACUCUAUGAUUAUAGCAGUACUCUAUGACUGUGACAGUACUCUAUGACUACAGCAGUACUCUAUGACUGUGACAGUACUCUAUGACUAUGGCAGUAUUCUAUGACUAUGUCAGUACUCUAUGACUGUGACAAUACUCUAUGACUACAGCAGUACUCUAUGACUGUGACAGUACUCUAUGACUACAGCAGUACUCUAUGACUGUGACAGUACUCUAUGACUAUGGUAGUACUCUAUGAUUAUAGCAGUACUCUAUGACUACAGCAGUAUUCUAUGACUAUGGUAGUACUCUAUGACUACAGCAGUACUCUAUGACUAUAGCAGUACUCUAUGACUGUGACAGUACUCUAUGACUACAGCAGUACUCUAUGACUACAGCAGUACUCUAUGACUGUGGAAGUACUCUAUGACUAUGGCAGUACUCUAUGACUGUGACAAUACUCUAUGACUACAGCAGUGCUCUAUGACUGUGGAAGUACUCUAUGACUACAGCAGUACUCUAUGACUGUGGAAGUACUCUAUGACUAUAGCAGUACUCUAUGACUGUGACAGUACUCUAUGACUACAGCAGUACUCUAUGACUACAGCAGUACUCUAUGACUGUGACAGUACUCUAUGACUACAGCAGUACUCUAUGACUAUGGCAGUACUCUAUGACUAUGGCUGUACUCUGUGAACAUGGUAAUACUCUGUGACUAUAGUAGUACUCUAUGACUAUGACAGUACUCUAUGACUACAGCAGUACUCUAUGACUGCAGCAGUACUCUAUGACUAUGGCCGUACUCUAUGAACAUGGUAAUACUCUGUGACUGACUGACGAUGGCUGAGAAAGAAGCUCUAUCCUGACUAAUCCUAGGUAAGCUAGUAUGCUUCCCAAACCCUAAAACUUGCUUGGAAAGUAGAGCUAAGGGUCUGGAGAGAUGCUCAGAGGUUUAGAGCACUUGUUACUCUUGCAGAGGACCCUGGUUCAAUUUCCGAUGCCCACAUGGUGACUCACAACCACCUAUAACUUCACUUCCAGGGAAUCAGAUGCCCUCUUCUGCUGUGGAAUAAUCAUGCUGUACAUUGUGUAAAUAUAUGACGGGUUUAAUAAACAAGCUGACUGUCCAAUAGCUGAACAGGAUAAAGUUAGGCAGGAAAGUCAAACUGAGAAUGAUGGGAGGAGGAAGGGCAGACUCAGAAGAGUUGCCAGCCAGACACACAGGGAGCAGGAGAUGAAAGUGCCAUGUUAAUAAAGGUACCACCAUGUGGCAGAGCGUAGAUAAGGAAUAUGAGUUAACUUAAAAUAUAAGCCUGAGCCAUUGGCCAAGCAUUCGUAAUUAAUAUAAGCCUCAGUGUGUUUACUUGAAAGUGGCUACAGGACAGGAAAUUCUACCUACAAAUGGCACCCAAACGUUUGGCAAGAAUUUCCACAUAAAACCUAAGAAAGUUUUUUAAAAGGUUCUAAAACAGAACCACGAGCAGCUUCCUAGUCUCCUGGCUGCUGCCUGAGGGCUUGAACCUCCAGCACACUUCAUGGAAGGUUCCCACAGACUCUCAUGCCAGCCACAGUGCAGAGAAAACAUCUCCCAGACCCUGCCUGUGGGUUUGAGCUGCCGCCAGAGCAAGCUCACCAGCGUACCAUGAACGAGGCCUCAUUGUGGGUUUAGGUUUUGCUCAUGCAGACAGAAGUGGUUACAGAUGCACAGUAAGGACAGAUUGAGACAAAAAGAGCCUCUAAACAGACCACAGUGUGUUAGAAAAUGUGCAUCGGCUUGGGAGAGAGAAAAGAAAGAGUAUAUACAAUCUUAGAUUUAAAAAUAUAGUUUUAAAAUAAAGUCCUUAAAAAAGAAAUAGAGUAAUAAAAAAUAUAAUAAGCCAUGAAAAAGAUGGAAAGUACACAGAGAGUCUGGGUACUGUAUGUUAUUGUGUUGUCUUUAGAUUUUCUGAUUGCUGGGGAAGGAACAGCAGCUGCUAACACACAUGGGAUUAUGACAACUGUUAGAUUAAACCGACCAAUAUAUAUUUUAAAAAUAUCUCGACUUCAAAAUUUAAGUCAAAAGGUGUAUUGCUUUGGGGGAGAAGUUAUGCUUUUAUUUCCACGGGAAAUGAGAAGCUGUGGAUUCAUUCUGGGUUAAAGAAAAUAAGAUUUGAUGAAGGAAGAACUUUGGAUGACUGUCCAGGCUGCCAGCUGUCUCUGUCUACCCUGCAAGACUCCCAAAAGUUGUUUGCAUCCUUCUCCCAUUUCUCAGGUAGUAUUAUAUCCUUCUGAGAUCUUUGAUGUAGUUGAAGACUAGAAUUAUAAUUUCCUCUGUUAUGAUAAAAGAUAAGUUAGAUAUAAAACCUUAGACUCACAAAUAUAAGAUAGGAUAUCUUCUUUAAUUUUGCCAAAUACAAAUAGACUAGUUAUUAUAAAUAGAUUAGAUAUUAUAACUGUAAUUCUUGCUUGAUAAUCGUUUUGUUAUCUAUAAUUUUACUAUGUGAAAGUUAAAACCUUCCUUUUUGAAAAAAAAAAGAAAAGGGGGAGUGCUGUGGGAUGGUCUGUAUGUCAAGUGUGUUGCUCUGAUUGGUUAAUAAAUAAAACACUGAUUGGCCAGUAGCCAGGCAGGAAGUAUAGGUGGGACAAGGAGGAGAAGAAAUUGGGGAAGUGGAAGGCUGAGGCAGAGACACUGCCAGCCGCCACCACAAGAAAGAUGUAAGGUACCGAUAAGCCACGAGCCACAUGGCAAAGUAUAGAUUAAUAAAAAUGGGUUAAUUUAAGAUAUAAAAACAGUUAACAAAAAGCCUGAGCCAUUAAGUCAAACAGUUUAAAUAAUAUAAGCGUCUGUGUGUUUAUUUUAUAAGUGGGCUGUCAGACUGCCGGGGCUUGGCGGGACCUGGAGAAAAAACUCUCCAGCUACACCAAACACCACUGAAAAUGGAUGGCCCUGGUGAUCCAACAUCUCAAGGUCCCUCUCUGUUACAGUCUCCUCGGAAUUCUGCAUUCAGAACAGCUUCAAGGCUGCUUGCUGAGAUGAUCCAGCCUCACAGAAUACUGCAGUCAGUACUUGACCAUAAUCUUAAAUUUUCUUAGGGUCCCCCAAAGAUUACCAUGGGGACUACUUCAAUAGGAAGCAGUCUAGAGAACUACACACACAUUCCCAAAAAAUGGGUUAUGGAUAUUUAUUAUCAUUUAAGCGAGGUUGGUUGCAAGUUGUUAUUGGUAAUGAUCAGGAAAAAAGCUGAACAAAGGAGGUUAGAUUCAGGGAUCUCAUCCUAAAAAGAAAAGGGGGAUAUAGAAAUGAUAGGAUAAAAGGGUACAUUAUUGAAUCUACUUUAAUCCAAAAAACAACUAUUAAUCUUAAAUAUUUUACAUGGGUAUGUAUUUUGGUUUAUUGAUACAAAUUUAAAGUUAAUUUUGUUAUUCUGUAUGUAUAUUUCCACUCUUGUUUAAGGUAUUGUGUUUAUGCAGCUCAUUUUAAAAUAUAAUAUACAAUUAAGAAGUACAGAUUAAUAGCCAUCUGUCAUAGUCAAACUUACAGUUAUGUUAGAUAUGUUUUCAAGGUCAUACACAGAUAUCCUAUAAGAGCAUGAUAGUUUCCUCCACUAGAACCCUUGGUUCUGAUAGGUUGACCUUCUGAACACUAGUUGUCACCUGCUGUAUACUCCCAUGGCCUUUUGCUACCAGCAGUUCUCAAUAAUAUACUUAGAUAGAUGGUCUUCAAACACAUCAAAAACCUACAGAAUAUGGUAUUUAAUAUGUUUAAUAUUAAAAGGCUUUUCAUGACAGUGAGACACGUCUGCUCCUGGCAGCACCAAUCUACUUCAGAGAAGAUGACGGGUAUCAAAGAAACUCCAUAUGCUGUUUGUUUUCUUUAUGGCAAAAGCUAGCCAUUUGGGGGAAGAAAAACUGCCCUUGUCUCCAUUGUUGACAGUUACUGUCCAAACUGGACCAGCAGGACACAAGAAAGGCAACUGCCAAACUUUGCCAAGACAAGGGUUUCUCUGUGUAGCUUUGGAGCCUGUCCUGGAUCUCACUCUGUAAAACAGGCUGCCUCUCGAGUGCUGGGAUUAAAGAGCAGAGAAGCAGCUGAUGCCCAAGGCCUGCCAGGAGACUCGCCCAGAAAGACAUAGAUGAUCAUUGCUCUCGGGUCUGUCAUUUCUUUACUGCGGAAUCUCACCAUCUCGAAAACCUUAAUCAGGACUUGGCAUGGUGGGGAACACCUGUAAUUUCAGCCCUCAAGAAGAUGAGGAAGGAGUUCAAAGGCAGACUGGGUGACUUAGGAAGUCCAGUCUCACAGAAGCAAAGUUAACACACUGUGAUGGAGAUUUUCUCACCUUAGAAGAUUUUACAUGCUACACAUUUCAAAAUUGCACACAAAAGCUGUUUCUAUCCCAGGCCAUGCCACUCAUUUUUGUCUAAUUUAAACUUAAACAUUUGAUAGCCUAUCUGACUUGCUUUUGAAAUGAAAAGAAUUUAAAUAUGAAAAUAAAAGUAUCAAACAUUGUA